rnacentral:tRNA from 1 species
UACCUGAAAGCGAAAAAUUGCACUAAGUUUCGGCCUUAGCUCUGAGGAACCUUCCUCUUAGGUAA